rnacentral:lncRNA from 1 species
GCGCGGAAAGCACUCGAACCUUCUCAAACUGCGUGCUCCGACAUACCUGGUUACAAGCACACACCAAUGGAUUUCAUAAUUAAUGAAGGAGGAACAAGAGGUAAAGGCCAUGUGGCCUGACAGAGGCUCUUGCUCCUAAGUGCAUUCGGCAAACAUAUUCAAAGAAAAUACAGCACAAAAAAUGAAGAAAAAGCACUUCAAGCCAUACGUCACUUUUGGGUGGAAGCAUUAAAGUACCUAGAGCAGCUACUUGUGGCCUGACGCAUCCAAACAACAGGGCGACAUGAAUUUCAAUGUGGCAAAGUAUGCGGUCAAAUCCUUAGUUUUUAUUGGUUACCUUAGCCUGCAGCAAAAUGAUAAUAAAAAGCCAUAAAUUCCUAGUAGCUGAAUCAUGAAAUGCUUAAGUUGUGCAUGUUUACAUGUUUUCUUCACACCAUGUAUAAUUUUUAGCUUUUCCUCUAGAUGUCUAAUAAAACGAAUGAGCUUUCACGUUACUACUUAUUUAAUUGAAAUUUUUUGCAUGCUCAACAGUGUUUGUAGUGAUAGUAUGUAAACAAGGUGUGGAAAAGUUUAUUUAGGUGCUUUGAGUGAGUGCUCAACAGCAAGUUUUAACAAUUGUAGUGAAAUUACCUUGGUAUUAUUUUUAUCCCUCAAAUAUGUCACACCUUUUCACACCCAUUUCAUGUAUUAAAGCAGGCUACCUUUAUAUAGCUGUUUUAAUGAGCAUACAAAUUACUCUGCUACAUUAAAGUAACAUUUAGGUGGGCUACACUGUCAUACACCAUAAAAAUGUGCCGUAUUCUUUCACUCAAACAAAAUAUGAAUAACUUUGAAUUA